rnacentral:rRNA from 1 species
UACAGAGGGUGCAAGCGUUAAUCGGAAUUACUGGGCGUAAAGCGUGCGUAGUCGGUUAUCUAAGUCGGGUGUGAAAUCCCCGGGCUCAACCUGGGAAUUGCAUUCGAUACUGGAUAGCUAGAGUUCGGCAGAGGGAAGCGGAAUUUCGGGUGUAGCGGUGAAAUGCGUAGAUAUCCGAAGGAACAUCAGUGGCGAAAGCGGCUUCCUGGACCAGAACUGACGAUCAGGCACGAAAGCGUGGGGAGCAAACAGGG